rnacentral:rRNA from 1 species
UACGAAGGGGGCUAGCGUUGCUCGGAAUCACUGGGCGUAAAGCGCACGUAGGCGGCUUCUUAAGUCAGGGGUGAAAUCCUGGAGCUCAACUCCAGAACUGCCUUUGAUACUGGAGAGCUUGAGUCCGGAAGAGGUUAGUGGAACUGCGAGUGUAGAGGUGAAAUUCGUAGAUAUUCGCAAGAACACCAGUGGCGAAGGCGGCUGACUGGUCCGGUUCUGACGCUGAGGCGCGAAAGCGUGGGGAGCAAACAGG